CUCCACCUACAUCCACACCUCAUUCUUCAUCUACUUCUCCUCCAUCACUGUCCUCCACUGCUCUCUCUGUGUUGUCAUUUCUUAAAUCAAUCUGUGGGUUCUUACUGGUGUUACUGGUUCUGUUAGGGGGACCAUGUGUUCACAGGAAAACUGAAGCUGAUGGAGAAGUUAGAGAUGACAUCACGUACAGUCACAGAAAAUCUCAAGUCAUCAACAACAGCCAAUCAGAGGAAGCAGAGAGAGUGAUCCUGUUCCCGUCCACUCAGCCCUGAGAACUGAAGACAUCAUUUAUGGACAAACAGGACAGAAGAAAAGAAAAGAAGAAAAGAGAUGUAUUUUGUACAUUUGUGUCAUCAUAAUAUUUACUGAAAUGAUCUCAUGGGAAAUGUGUCCAAACCCUUUCACUGGCAUGUCAGGUCUGAUUUUAAAAUGUUACAUAAGUCAAAGUACAAAAGUGUCAGGAUCAGCAGAAUUUGCCCCAAGAAUGAAAGUAC